ACACCGCACACCUCAUGGGAGGGCCCACGUCUACACCACAUGCCUCAUCACUCACGGGAGGGCCGGCGUCUACACCAUACGCCUCAUCCCUCAUGGGAGGGCCCGCGUCUACACUGCACACCUCAUGGGAGGGCCCGCGUCUACACCACAUGCCUCAUCCCUCACGGGAGGGCCGGCGUCUACACCGCACACCUCAUCGCUCACGGGAGGGUCCGCGUCUGCAGCGUCCACACCGCACACCUCACGGGAGGGCCGGCGUCUACACCGCGCGCCUCGUGUCUUCCCACCCGCAGGACGUGGUGAACACGCACCCGGGGCUGUCGUUCCUGAAGGAGGCGUCCGAGUUUCACUCGCGCUACAUCACCACGGUCAUCCAGCGGAUCUUCUACGCGGUGAACCGGUCCUGGUCCGGCAGGAACCUGUGCCGAGCUGCGGAGGAGCUCCUUCUGCAGAAUGUGGCGCUGCUGGAGGAGGAGGCGGACAUCAACCAGCUGACCGAAUUCUUCUCGUACGAGCAUUUCUACGUCAUCUACUGCAAGUUCUGGGAGCUGGACACGAACCACGACCUGCUUAUCGAUGCGGACGACCUGGCGCGGCACAAUGACCACGCCAUUUCUACCAAGAUGAUCGACAGGAUCUUCUCAGGAGCAGUCACACGAGGCAGAAAAGUGCAGAAGGAAGGGAAGAUCAGCUAUGCCGACUUUGUCUGGUUUUUGAUCUCUGAGGAAGACAAAAAAACACCGACCAGCAUCGAGUACUGGUUCCGCUGCAUGGACCUGGACGGGGACGGCGCCCUGUCCAUGUUCCAGCUCGAGUACUUCUAUGAGGAGCAGUGCCGAAGGCUGGACAGCAUGGCCAUCGAGGCCCUGCCCUUCCAGGACUGCCUCUGCCAGAUGCUGGACCUGGUCAAGCCGAGGACUGAAGGGAAGAUCAUGCUGCAGGACCUGAAGCGCUGCAAGCUGGCCAACGUCUUCUUCGACACUUUCUUCAACAUCGAGAAGUACCUCGACCACGAGCAGAAAGAGCAGAUCUCCCUGCUCAGGGACGGUGACAGCGGCGGCCCCGAGCUCUCGGACUGGGGAAGUACGCGGCUGAGGAGUACGACAUCCUGGUGGCCGAGGAGACCGCGGAAGAGCGCUGGGAGGACGGCAGACCCCACGUUAGCUGAAAUGGGAAAAAACUUGAAGGAGGCAGUGAAGAUGCUGGAGGACAGUCAGAGAAGAACAGAAGAGGAAAAUGGAAAGAAGCUCAUAUCCAGAGAUAUUCCAGGCCCACUCCAGGGCAGUGGACAAGAUAUGGUGAGCAUCCUCCAGUUAGUUCAGAAUCUGAUGCAUGGAGAUGAAGAUGAGGAGCCCCAGAGCCCCAGAAUCCAAAAUAUUGGAGAACAAGGUCAUGUGGCUUUGUUGGGACAUAGUCUGGGAGCUUAUAUUUCAACUCUGGACAAAGAGAAGCUGAGAAAACUUACAACUAGGAUACUUUCAGAUACCACCUUAUGCCUAUGCAGAAUUUUCAGAUAUGAAAAUGGGUGUGCUUAUUUCCAUGAAGAGGAAAGAGAAGGACUUGCAAAGAUAUGUAGGCUUGCCAUUCAUUCUCGAUAUGAAGACUUCGUGGUGGAUGGCUUCAGUGUGUUAUAUAACAAGAAGCCUGUCAUAUAUCUUAGUGCUGCUGCUAGACCUGGCCUGGGCCAAUACCUUUGUAAUCAGCUCGGCUUGCCCUUCCCCUGCUUGUGCCGUGUACCCUGUAACACUAUGUUUGGAUCCCAGCAUCAGAUGGAUGUUGCCUUCCUGGAGAAACUGAUUAAAGAUGAUAUAGAGCGAGGAAGACUGCCCCUGUUGCUUGUCGCAAAUGCAGGAACGGCAGCAGUAGGACACACAGACAAGAUUGGGAGAUUGAAAGAACUCUGUGAGCAGUAUGGCAUAUGGCUUCAUGUGGAGGGUGUGAAUCUGGCAACAUUGGCUCUGGGUUAUGUCUCCUCAUCAGUGCUGGCUGCAGCCAAAUGUGAUAGCAUGACGAUGACUCCUGGCCCGUGGCUGGGUUUGCCAGCUGUUCCUGCGGUGACACUGUAUAAACACGAUGACCCUGCCUUGACUUUAGUUGCUGGUCUUAUAUCAAAUAAGCCCACAGACAAACUCCGUGCCCUGCCUCUGUGGUUAUCUUUACAAUACUUGGGACUUGAUGGGUUUGUGGAGAGGAUCAAGCAUGCCUGUCAACUGAGUCAAUGGUUGCAGGAAAGUUUGAAGAAAGUGAAUUACAUCAAAAUCUUGGUGGAAGGUGAGCUCAGCUCCCCAGUGGUGGUGUUCAGAUUUUUCCAAGAAUUACCAGGCUCAGAUCCGGUGUUUAAAGCCGUCCCAGUGCCCAACAUGACACCUUCAGCAGUCGGCCGGGAGAGGCACUCGUGUGAUGCGCUGAAUCGCUGGCUGGGAGAACAACUGAAGCAGCUGGUGCCUGCGAGCAGCCUCACAGUCAUGGAUCUGGAAGCUGUGGGCAUGUGUUUGCGAUUCAGCCUUUUGAUGACCGCAGCAGGUAUGAUCUCGUGAAACCUUGAGAGAAACUGAAUGACGAAUGAAACUAUUGUUCCUGUUUCACACAGAAGAAAACUGAGGUUAAAAGGGGUUGGCACUCAUGAUGAGCCCCUGUUCUCAUUCUGCAAAUGGUGAAGCUCUCUAUUGUCCUGACCCCACAGUUCCUGUCCCAUGACCAGGGCCCGCUCACCAAGGAGCUGCAGCAGCACGUAAAGUCAGUGACAUGCCCAUGCGAGUACCUGAGGAAGGUGAGUGAGUGCAGACAGAUGGGGCCUGGUGCCCUUGAGCAGUUCCCGGGUCUCAGCUGCCACACAUCUCAUAGCGGGUGAUGCUGGGGGAAGCUUACGCAGUCACAGUACUGGCUUCUUCCUCUUUUUCUUUCCAUACAAGUGGCUUAGGGAUGGGGUAGAGUAGUUGACUUAUUUGGAUGAAAACCACUUAUCUUCUGUCAGAAACUCAAAAGGAAUCAUUGCUGGCAUGGUAACCUAAAGAAAAACAACCAGACAAGUGCCCAACGACACUUAAAAAGGUUAUUUAUUAUCUUGCCAAGUUUAGGCUGGGCAUGGUGACUCAUGCCUGUAAUCCCAGCAUUUUGGGAGGCUGAGGCUGGUGGAUCACCUGAGGCCAGGACUUCGAGACCCGCCUGACCAAUAUGGCAAAACCUCGUCCCUACUAAAAAUACAAAAAUUAGCCGGGCAUGGUGGUGUGAGCCUGUAGUCCCAGCUACUCAGGAGGCUGAGACAGGAGAAUUGCUUAGAUUCAGGAGGUGGAGGUUUUAGUGGGCCGAGAUCACGCCAUUGCACUCCACACUGUGCGACAGAGCGAGACUCUGUCAAAAAAAAAAAAAAAAAAAAAAUUAUCCUGCAAAAUUUGAAAAGGAAAUUCAAA